AUCGCCUGGGGAUCUUAUUAAAAAUGCAGAUUCUGAUUCCAUGUGUCUGGGGUAGUGUCCAAGAUUGUGCAUUUCUAAUGAGCUCACAAGCGAUGCUCA
rnacentral:pre_miRNA from 1 species